AUUGAACGCUGGCGGCAUGCUUUACACAUGCAAGUCGAACGGCAGCGCGGGGCAACCUGGCGGCGAGUGGCGAACGGGUGAGUAAUAUAUCGGAACGUACCCAAGAGUGGGGGAUAACGUAGCGAAAGUUACGCUAAUACCGCAUACGAACUAAGGAUGAAAGUGGGGGAUCGCAAGACCUCAUGCUCCUGGAGCGGCCGAUAUCUGAUUAGCUAGUUGGUGAGGUAAAGGCUCACCAAGGCUACGAUCAGUAGCUGGUCUGAGAGGACGACCAGCCACACUGGAACUGAGACACGGUCCAGACUCCUACGGGAGGCAGCAGUGGGGAAUUUUGGACAAUGGGCGCAAGCCUGAUCCAGCAAUGCCGCGUGAGUGAAGAAGGCCUUCGGGUUGUAAAGCUCUUUUGUCAGGGAAGAAACGGUCUCAGCUAAUAUCUGGGGCUAAUGACGGUACCUGAAGAAUAAGCACCGGCUAACUACGUGCCAGCCGCCGCAGUAA
rnacentral:rRNA from 1 species